UACAGAGGGGGCAAGCGUUGUUCGGAAUUACUGGGCGUAAAGGGCGCGUAGGCGGCCUCUUAAGUCGAACGUGAAAUCCCCGGGCUCAACCCGGGAACUGCGUCCGAUACUGGGGGGCUUGAAUCCGGGAGAGGGAUGUGGAAUUCCAGGUGUAGCGGUGAAAUGCGUAGAUAUCUGGAGGAACACCGGUGGCGAAGGCGGCAUCCUGGACCGACACUGACGCUGAGGAGCGAAAGCCAGGGGAGCAAACGGG
rnacentral:rRNA from 1 species